GCAGAAGUAACAUUCCUUUGAACACUCAGCUUUCUGAAAUGGUGUCCCACCGCAAGGACUGGAGAAGGGUAAACCUCAGGUUCUCCUCCUGCCUUUUGCUAAGUAUAUGUCUUGAUGACAAGCCUUCUGCUGAUGAGCUGUGUUUCUGGACCGAUCAUGGUAGAAGUCAAUUAACGUGUCCCUCACUUGGGGUUUCUCAAGGCUGCACUGAUGAGGAAACUGAAACAGAAAAUCCAGAGUAAAUUCCACCAGGCCACACAGCAAGGUCUGAUAGAGCCAGGAGAGACUUUAUGAAAUCCAGACUCUCACACUAAUGCUCUAUCAGCUAGACCUCCAUGUGAGUCUCCCCAAUGUAGGUAGGAAGUGCUUUCCCUAAAAUGCUCAUAAAGCAAAUCAGAGCAAUG
rnacentral:lncRNA from 1 species